AUUGAACGCUGGCGGCAGGCCUAACACAUGCAAGUCGAGCGGAGCGGCGGACUGGUGAUUAAUGCCUAGGAAUCUGCCUGGUAGUGGUGGAUAACGUCCGGAAACGGGCGCUAAUACCGCAUACUAUCAGAUUAGCCUAGGUCGGAUUAGCUAGUUGGUGGGGUAAAGGCCUACUAAGGCGUCGAUCCGUAACUGGUCUGAGAGGAUGAUCAGUCAAAAUGGAACGGAGACACGGUCCAGAUUCCUACGGGAGGCAGAAGUGGGGAAUAUUGGACAAUGGGCGAAAGCCUGAUGCAGCCAUGCCGCGUGUGUGAAGAAGGUCUUCGGAUUGUAAAGCACUUUAAGUUGGGAGGCGUUACCAACAGAAGAAGCACAGACUAACUUCGUGCCAGCAGCCGCGGUAAUAC
rnacentral:rRNA from 1 species